AAUCUUAGGUAAAUCCGGGGUUUCAAGGCCGAGAGCUGAUGACGAGUCGUCUUUUAGAUGACGAAGUGGUUGAUGCCAUGCUUCCAAGAAAAGCUUCUAAGCUUCAGGUAACCAGGAACCGUACCCCAAACCGACACAGGUGGUCGGGUAGAGAAUACCAAGGCGCUUGAGAGAACUCGGGUGAAGGAACUAGGCAAAAUGGCACCGUAACUUCGGGAGAAGGUGCGCCGGCUAGGGUGAAGGAUUUACUCCGUAAGCUCUGGCUGGUCGAAGAUACCAGGCCGCUGCGACUGUUUAUUAAAAACACAGCACUCUGCAAACACGAAAGUGGACGUAUAGGGUGUGACGCCUGCCCGGUGCCGGAAGGUUAAUUGAUGGGGUUAGCGCAAGCGAAGCUCUUGAUCGAAGCCCCGGUAAACGGCGGCCGUAACAAUAACGGUCCUAAGGUAGCGAAAUUCCUUGUCGGGCAAGUUCCGACCUGCACGAAUGGCGUAACGAUGGCGGCGCUGUCUCCACCCGAGACUCAGUGAAAUUGAAAUCGCUGUGAAGAUGCAGUGUAUCCGCGGCUAGACGGAAAGACCCCGUGAACCUUUACUGUAGCUUUGCACUGGACUUUGAGCCUGCUUGUGUAGGAUAGGUGGGAGGCUUUGAAGCGUGGACGCCAGUUCGCGUGGAGCCAUCCUUGAAAUACCACCCUGGCAUGCUUGAGGUUCUAACUCUGGUCCGUAAUCCGGAUCGAGGACAGUGUAUGGUGGGCAGUUUGACUGGGGCGGUCUCCUCCUAAAGAGUAACGGAGGAGUACGAAGGUGCGCUCAGACCGGUCGGAAAUCGGUCGCAGAGUAUAAAGGCAAAAGCGCGCUUGACUGCGAGACAGACACGUCGAGCAGGUACGAAAGUAGGUCUUAGUGAUCCGGUGGUUCUGUAUGGAAGGGCCAUCGCUCAACGGAUAAAAGGUACUCCGGGGAUAACAGGCUGAUACCGCCCAAGAGUUCAUAUCGACGGCGGUGUUGGCACCUCGAUGUCGGCUCAUCACAUCCUGGGGCUGAAGCCGGUCCCAAGGGUAUGGCUGUUCGCCAUUUAAAGUGGUACGCGAGCUGGGUUUAGAACGUCGUGAGACAGUUCGGUCCCUAUCUGCCGUGGACGUUUGAGAUUUGAGAGGGGCUGCUCCUAGUACGAGAGGACCGGAGUGGACGAACCUCUGGUGUUCCGGUUGUCACGCCAGUGGCAUUGCCGGGUAGCUAUGUUCGGAAAAGAUAACCGCUGAAAGCAUCUAAGCGGGAAACUUGCCUCAAGAUGAGAUCUCACUGGGAACUUGAUUCCCCUGAAGGGCCGUCGAAGACUACGACGUUGAUAGGCUGGGUGUGUAAGCGUUGUGAGGCGUUGAGCUAACCAGUACUAAUUGCCCGUGAGGCUUGACC
rnacentral:rRNA from 1 species